rnacentral:rRNA from 1 species
AACGAACGCUGGCGGCAUGCCUAAUACAUGCAAGUCGAACGAGACCUUCGGGUCUAGUGGCGCACGGGUGCGUAACGCGUGGGAAUCUGCCCUUGGGUUCGGAAUAACGUCGGGAAACUGACGCUAAUACCGGAUGAUGACGUAAGUCCAAAGAUUUUAUCGCCCAGGGAUGAGCCCGCGUAGGAUUAGCUAGUUGGUGGGGUAAAGGCCUACCAAGGCGACGAUCCUUAGCUGGUCUGAGAGGAUGAUCAGCCACACUGGGACUGAGACACGGCCCAGACUCCUACGGGAGGCAGCAGUAGGGAAUAUUGGACAAUGGGCGAAAGCCUGAUCCAGCAAUGCCGCGUGAGUGAUGAAGCCUUAGGGUUGUAAAGCUCUUUUACCCGAGAUGAUAAUGACAGUAUCGGGAGAAUAAGCUCCGGCUAACUCCGUGCCAGCAGCCGCGGUAAAUACGGAGGGAGCUAGCGUUGUUCGGAAUUACUGGGCGUAAAGCGCACGUAGGCGGCGAUU